GCCUUCGUGGUGUAGUGGUCAGCAGACUGGACGCGCAACCUAGAGGUCCGUGGUUCGAUUCCCGGCGAAGGCG
rfam:Stegodyphus mimosarum contig84325, whole genome shotgun sequence.